UACGUAGGGGGCGAGCGUUGUCCGGAUUUAUUGGGCGUAAAGAGCUCGUAGGCGGUUCGGCAAGUCGGAUGUGAAAUCUCCACGCUCAACGUGGAGGGGCCAUCCGAUACUGUCGUGACUCGAGUCCGGUAGGGGAGUGUGGAAUUCCCGGUGUAGCGGUGAAAUGCGCAGAGAUCGGGAGGAACAUCAGUUGCGAAGGCGGCUCUCUGGACCAGCACUGACACUGAGGCACGAAAGCGUGGGGAGGCAAACAGGA
rnacentral:rRNA from 1 species